rnacentral:rRNA from 1 species
AGUGAACGCUGGCGGUAGGCCUAACACAUGCAAGUCGAACGGCAGCACAGUAAGAGCUUGCUCUUACGGGUGGCGAGUGGCGGGCGGGUGAGGAAUACAUCGGAAUCUACUUUUUCGUAGGGGAUAACGUAGGGAAACUUACGCUAAUACCGCAUACGACCUACGGGUGAAAGCAGGGGAUCUUCGGACCUUGCGCGAUUGAAUGAGCCGAUGUCGGAUUAGCUAGUUGGCGGGGUAAAGGCCCACCAAGGCGACGAUCCGUAGCUGGUCUGAGAGGAUGAUCAGCCACACUGGAACUGAGACACGGUCCAGACUCCUACGGGAGGCAGCAGUGGGGAAUAUUGGACAAUGGGCGCAAGCCUGAUCCAGCCAUACCGCGUGGGUGAAGAAGGCCUUCGGGUUGUAAAGCCCUUUUGUUGGGAAAGAAAAGCAGCAGGUUAAUACCCCGCUGUUCUGACGGUACCCAAAGAAUAAGCACCGGCUAACUUCGUG